GGUAUCCGGCUGGUCAAUUGUUUUCUCAAAUUAUGUUCUUUGUUGUAAGGAUCUAUAUUAUAUGCGUAAGAAUUCUAUGUAAAACGCAAAUGUUUUGUAUAAGUUAAAUUAUUUCUCUAUUAAAAACAUAUAUUAUAUUUUGAAAUCGAAAGUGAAUUCUUUCACUUUAAAAGAAACCUGAAGAUAUCAUUGCAGAGAUGGCGGAAGAUUGAUUAUGGUUCCAAACUUGUGAUGAUGUGCAUACUCGACCUCAUAGGGGCCUUUACAGUCGUAACUAUCCCGUUCAGUGCGAAAAUGCCUCCUUAGAGAUAUGCGCUAUUAUGAACUGCCUUGGGUAUGGAUGGGAGAUCAGACAGGCACGGAGAGACGCCUACAAAGAGUAUGAUAGGCUGACGACUGCUAUCGUUAACAAAAAAAUGAUUCACAUAACAGCGGGUAGCAAGGCAGGGGACUGACAAGCUUUUUGGAAAGUGACUUAGAUCUAAUGCUUGUACAACUAGGCAGCAUGUGUUUAGAAGAUGGUGUUAAUUUUGACACAUUACCAAUGGAGACUAUAGUGUUAACAUUAAACACCGGGGUCUGCUACCACGGACACUGUAGGCUUAAUUUACUUGAGAGACGUGGUUCAAUAAUUCCAGAAUGCGUGCUCAAUGCUCUUUGUGAUGAUGGCAAUGGCGGUGUUCUCCUAAGCAGCACUUUUUUUUAUUAAUUAUUUUGAUAACAGGACAGAUCCAAAUGUGGUUUGCCAUGAACGCGCAGGGCCAUCAUUGCCGAGUUCAAUUGGGCCAUUGCAUAAAGACAUGGUCCCUUCUUUAUACUGUCACUGUCCUGGCAUACUAUUGAGAUGGGCAAAACGUAGUCGCCAUUUUCCACCACCGGAUAUUGUUUACAAGGUCGUAAAAAUGGGAGCAUUUGUCUCACCUGUUGGCUUUAAGGGUAGCGAAUAUCAACAUGUUGAAUGGCGGAUCUGUUUUAAUACGGGGGAGAAUGAGCUUGUGAGCAAUCUAAAUAACAUACAGGUUUACGUUUAUGUUAUAUUAAAAAUGGUAGUAAAGGAUGUCUUGAAGCCAGUAAAGAAAGAAAUUACAUCAUACACAGUGAAAAACAUUGUUUUGUGGCUUGCAGAGAACAAUCCACAAGCACUGUUCAAUGAAAGUAGCUUGUUUUAUUGGCUUCGGGAAGGACUUGGACAACUAAGAACGGCAAUAUUAAAUAUCCAUCUGCCAUAUUAUAUGAUACCAGAAAGGAAUCUAAUGGCAGCGUGCGGACUCGAUGAAGAACAAAAAAGUACUUGGGUAAAAUCGAUUACGGACAUGAUAAGCGAAGGUCAGAAAAUAUUAUUUAGAUUGCCGAGGAUACGGAAGGCAAUAAUCUCGCAUCCAGAGCCCCUGUUAUGGUACAACAAGAAGAGAUUGGAGCUUGAACUGCUGCAGCUGUAUUGGGUGAACACCGUUGUGAAUAGUAAGCAAGGCAGAGAUGAGAAUCGUAAGCGUAACGAGUCAGAUCGUAUUUUGCAGGAGAUAAAGAGACGUAUAACUAACAUAUCUGGAGUGGUCCGUGAGAGGAUGAAAUGGGAAGGAAGUUGUGUUUGUGGUUUUGAUCUGAAUGAGAUAAUGACCAAGAUGUUGAUGUAAUGUCUGUAUUUUAAAAUUAACAUCGAGCAUAACAAUAAUUCAUUUUUUCAUAAUUUCCACAAUCUAGAACAGAUGCGUUCAUUCAUAAUGUUUUCAGUGCUUAUGAAUUCUUAACUAUGAUGCCAAUAAUCGAGAAUUGUUAAUUUCAUAAGUUGGUAUUUCUUUGCAAAAGGCUCUUCAAACAGACAUAUUCGUGGGCACAAUUAUGGAUAUGCAGACAGUAAUUGCCUUUUACCAGUAUCCGAGUAAAUGACUGUAGCUUUCAUUGGUAUUUUAUUGAUUGUUAAUUUACUGAUGAAUCGUCUAUAAUCAGAUUGUGUAAAGGACAUAAUUAUCUGUAACACUAUUAAGACUUGAAACCAGUCUGUCGUUAUAAAUUCGAAGAAGUUAAUGGUAUAUAAAUCUGACCACACAUAUCGCGGUAAAGAUUUGGUAAUGAACCAAAUGUGUUGCACAUUUCAAAUGGGUAAUCUACUUACGUGUUGGACCAAUUUUGCCUCAUGACAAUUGUUUACAAGAUAAGUAUUGAUGCAAGGCAUCAAAGGGCGUCGGGAAUUUCAGUGUAAAAGGCACUCAAUGAAGUUACAUGGAACGAUUUUUUUCUACUGUAAAUAUUAAUAUAUUGGCCGAUUAUUUUAAACAAAAUAGAAAAAGAUACUGGUAUAACCAUUAUCUAUGAUUUUGUGUUAUAACCCCCAAAUAACCAUUAUUAAUGAUGUUGUGUUAUAACACCCAAAUAACCAUUAUCUAUGAUUUUGUGUUGUAACCCCCAAAUAUUUCAUAGUUCAUUUUAUUUACAUUGGUUUUCUUUGUUUACUGGCAGUUUUCAUUAAUGGAACAGAAUUGUGUAGGUUUUAAAAAAUCUGCUUCAUCUUGUAAGCGUAAUUUCAUAAUUUUCUCAACUUCAAGGGGAGAUGAUUCUGAACUUAUUCUUACGUUGCUCAUUUACGAUAGGGGUUGAGUACUCAUUGAUAUGAAAACACUGUAAAAGUUUGAAAAAAAAAUGAAUGGAAACUGUAAAUUGCAUAAAGAAGCUGCAUUUCACAAUACUUUGAAAUUCAGUCAAAGAUCAUAAUAGAUUUAUUGAUCCGAUAUUCAUCAUUUUCAAUAGGGUUCGAGUAAUACUGAUAUUAAAACACUUAACAAGUUUGGAAAGAUUCAGGCGAAAGUUGUGAAAUCUUUUAAACAAGUGGACAUUGUUUAUUUUGUCAAAUUUAAUAGAAAAAAAAUCUGGACUUAUUGUCCCGAUGUUUCUCAUUUUAAAUGAGGUUAAAAUGCUCAUUGAUAUGAAGACACUGUAAGUUUGGAAAGAAUCUGAUGAAAAAUGUUGACAUAAUCACCUAAACAAGCUGUUUUUUACUUUUAUUUUUAAAUUCAAAGAGACAUAAUUCUGGACUUAUGGUCCGAUAUUGCUCAUAUAGAGUUUGGGUUGGGUCUUCAUUGAUAAAUAAACCUGUGCAAGUUUGGGAACAAUCGGAUGAAAAUUUUGGACUUCGAACAAGGAUUUCAAAAUUUCUCAAUUCUAAGGAAGAUAACUAUGGACGUAAUGGUCGGAUAAUGUUAAAGGGCCCAUACCACCUGGAUAGUAAUACGUGUCGCGCUUCGCGCUCUAUAUGUGGUUCUUAAAAAAAACUCCGAGGAGUGCUUGACUCUAGGGAAACGGAUUGCUGGGACACAGCUCCUCCUUGAUAAGCGGCUGCUUCUUUAAUCGCAACUCAUUGUUACAAUCAAUAAUACGUGUCGCGCUUCGCGCUCUAUAUGUGGUAGGGAUAGUACUUAGGGCUUAUGAUAGACAACCAUAAUUAUUCAUGGAUAAUAAAUGUGUUGUUUGCAUUUAUUUGUUAAUAUAAAAACACGUGUAUUUUUUAUAAGAUAUUUCAGUGAUGUAAGAAAUUUUAAUUUACGUUGUCACCACGUUGCAUCCAUUUAUUUUAAUAAAGAUGUCCAAUUGUAGUAAAAUGGAUUUUUAAAUGUCUACAUAAAAUAAAGCCUUAUUAUAUUUAUUAACCUGACUGAAAAAAUUGUCAGUCGCCGAACUGUUCCGUUCGUGCCGCAACCCGGGAUUGAACCGGGGGCCUUUAGAUGACUGUUGCGUAAACAUCUUCAGUCUAACACUCUCCCAACUGAGCUAUUCCGGCUGACAUUCACUUAUGUACUGCUAUUUUGUGAAGUUGUGUUUAGCGAUCGUUAUUUAAUGUCUAUUAAUAAACUUAUACAUUGUACGUUUUCGUACUACUACGCCUUCCAAUAAACUUGCUUGCGCGUUAGGUCGUCAACUAUCGUACUACAUUGAUUCUCCACUAAGUAAGCAAAUUAGAAAAAACACAAAAUAAAUAUAUUUUGAUUAUGUUUUGUUUUUAUACAAAACAUCAUUUGUUUUUAUACAAAACCAGAAAGUUUCGCGUAUUUGCCCAGUCCCUGUGAUCUUUCCCCUAUGAUCAGUUGUGGAUCAGUUAUUAAUAAAAACAAUUAGCUUUGCAAUAUUGGCAAUACAUGUUGUAAUAAAUGUAAAAGCACAAAUGUAGUACUUAUUUACACUAAAUUACACAAAAAAUCACCACUAUGCAAGAAAUUCUUAAAACAAAAUUAUAUAAAUUGAUCCGUAAAAUAACUUCUCCUCCCAUAAGCGAAAAAAAAUACAUCACAUACUAAUCGCCGCACUCCAGUGCGACGCCAAUCAAUUAGCUAUUUUGAUGUUAAUGGUAAAAUUGAUACAUUUGCAUGCUAGGAAUGUGUACCUUGUGUGCUUUUGUCAUAACUUGCAUAUAUAAAAUUUAAUGCUCAUUUUCAAAUGUAAGGGCUAAGAACGUGUAUAGGCUUUAUUGAUGAACAAAUUUUGUUGUUAUUGUAUUCUUGCAUAUAUUAAAUUAAUGCUCAGUUUCAUAUGUGAGGGCUAUGAACUCGUAUUAGGUUUAUUGAUGAUUUAAUGUUGUUGUUGUUGUUGUUGUUGUUGUUGUUGUAUACAUCUCAUAAAAUACACAAAUAAGAAUUGUAUUAUAAUAUGAGGAAACUGUAUAUUACGUAAUUUACGUAAAUUUUUAAAGUAAUUUAUUUAAAAUAUUUCACGUAGAUAAAAUUCUUAACAUUGCUAUUUCAGACACAUCCAUUUAUAACAUUCGUAUUCAUAAAUGUUUGAUUUCUACAAAUAAUUGUAAAAAUUCCUCUAAUGUACUAGUAUAAGAUGUACAGUUGCAAUAUCAGAUGCCAUUAUGUUUUCCCUUCAUAACAAACCAUGUGAACCAUUUCAUAACACUAUCGUCCAAUUUCUAUCUUCUACCAUUACUUAUAAAUUGUAUAAUGCAUAUAUUAUGUAGGCUAUGAGCUUUUAUAAGCUUUAGUGCUGAAUAAAUGUUGUUGUUGUUGUUGUUUACUGUAAUAUUCCAAUCUGAAGCCAUUUUGUCGUGAGGAACAUAUAUUCAUUAUUUAUUGAGAACUUGGCAGAAAUUAAUCUAGGUUCCAAAGUAUUGUCAACAAUAAUCUGUACAAUAAUUUAGCAUUAUUUUGUGACUCUGUGCUGCUAUGGUAAAUGUAAUAUAUUUGAGUAAUUGAAAUGCAAUCAAAUGCAUGUAUAUAUUUAGUCCUUUUAAUCUGAAUUACAAUCUACAUCUUUGUUCUAAAUGUUUUUUAAUAUUUGUGUGUGCUUUGAGUAUUUCAGGGAACAAUGACGUUCGUAUAAUGCAUUCAAUUUAGUAUAUACUACAUCCGCAAUCAGUGCUCUUGAUUAUUAAGGCUAUAUUAAACCAAUGUAUCUCUCACCGAGAAAAUACUAAUUUUAUUAAAUACAUGUCGUUUUUUGAUGGACAGGUUGUGUAACACCAUCGCCUAUGUUACAUUGUACAUGGACAUGUAGAAUUCCGAGCUAUAGCCUCAACCAUAUUGAAAUUACAAUACAUAGUAAUACGAACGAUAUUUCAAUAAUAAACUGUACAUAUCGAGUCAUAAAUGAUAAUAUAAACAAUAAUAGAAUGCACAAAUUA